rnacentral:tRNA from 1 species
UUAAUCGAAACCAAAAAAGAGGUAUAUUACUGUUAAUAAUAUUAUUGAAAAUAUUUUCCGAUUAAA